rnacentral:rRNA from 1 species
CGGGGGGCUGCACCAGUGGGGAAUAUUGGACAAUGGGGGAAACCCUGAUCCAGCAAUGCCGCGUGUGUGAAGAAGGCCUGCGGGUUGUAAAGCACUUUCGGUUGGGAGGACUGCUUCUAGCACUAAUAUUGUUGGAAGUUGACGUUACCUUCAGAAGAAGCACUGGCUAACUCCGUGCCAGCAGCCGCGGUAAUACGGAGGGUGCAAGCGUGAAUCGGAAUUACUGGGCGUAAAGCGCGCGUAGGCGGCUAGAUCAGUCGGGUGUGAAAGCCCCGGGCUUAACCUGGGAACUGCAUCCGAUACUGUCUAGCUUGAGUACAGGAGAGGAGAGUGGAAUUCCACAUGUAGCGGUGAAAUGCGUAGAUAUGUGGAGGAACACCAAUGGCGAAGGCAGCUCUCUGGCCUGAUACUGACGCUGAGGUGCGAAAGCGUGGGGAGCAAACAGGAUUAGAUACCCCUGUAGUC